UACGUAGGGGGCUAGCGUUGUCCGGAUUUAUUGGGCGUAAAGAGCGUGUAGGCGGCCAGGUAGGUCUGCUGUGAAAACUCGAGGCUUAACCUCGAGAUGUCGGCGGAAACCAUCUGGCUAGAGUCCGGAAGAGGAGAGUGGAAUUCCUGGUGUAGCGGUGAAAUGCGCAGAUAUCAGGAAGAACACCCGUGGCGAAGGCGGCUCUCUGGGACGGUACUGACGCUGAGACGCGAAAGCGUGGUGAGCGAACAGG
rnacentral:rRNA from 1 species